UUUUAACGGCCGCGGUAUUCUAACCGUGCAAAGGUAGCGUAAUCACUUGUCUCCUAAAUAGAGACUAGUAUGAACGGCUAAAUGAGGACAAACCUGUCUCUUACAACCUAUCAGUGAAACUGAUCUCCCUGUCCAAAAGCUGGGAUACUAACAUAAGACGAGAAGACCCUGUGGAGCUUAAAACUCACUACUAACAAACUAACAUAGCACAUACUAGUAGGACUUUUAAGUUGGGGCGACUUCGGAACAAAACAGAACUUCCGAGCACAGAACCACUAAUUCUAACCAAGGCCAACAGGCCAAAGAAAAAAUUGACCCAGUAACACUGAUCAACGAACCAAGUUACCCCAGGGAUAACAGCGCUAUCUUCUUCAAGAGUCCAUAUCGACAAGAAGGUUUACGACCUCGAUGUUGGAUCAGGACAUCCAAAUGGUGCAGCCGCUAUUAAGGGUUCGUUUGUUCAACGAUUAACAGUCCU
rnacentral:rRNA from 1 species